AACGAACGCUGGCGGCGUGCCUAACACAUGCAAGUCGUACGAGAAAUCCUGGGCAACUGGGAGAGUAAAGUGGCGCACGGGUGAGUAACGCGUGGGUAACCUACCCUUAAAUUGGGGAUAACUCUCCGAAAGGGGAGUUAAUACCGAAUAACGUUCCGAUUCCUGCGGGAGUUGGAAUCAAAGGUGGCCUCUGCAUGCAAGCUAUCGUUUAAGGAUGGGCCCGCGUGCCAUUAGCUAGUUGGUAGGGUAAUGGCCUACCAAGGCAACGAUGGUUAGCUGGUCUAAGAGGAUGGCCAGCCACACUGGAACUGAGACACGGUCCAGACUCCUACGGGUGGCUG
rnacentral:rRNA from 1 species